rnacentral:rRNA from 1 species
UACAGAGGGUGCUAGCGUUGUUCGGAAUCAUUGGGCGUAAAGGGCGUGUAGGCGGUUUGUUAAGUCAUGUGUGAAAUCCCUCGGCUCAACCGAGGAAAGACGCAUGAAACUGGCAAGCUAGAGUACCGAAGAGGGGGGUGGAAUUCCCGGUGUAGCGGUGAAAUGCGUAGAUAUCAGGAGGAACACCUGUGGCGAAAGCGGCUCACUGGACCACAACUGACGCUGAGGCGCGAAAGCUAGGGGAGCAAACAGG